AUGCCCCUGGACUUCACCAAGCACUUCGUCGCGGUGCCAACGGAGUUCAAGCUGAGGAACAACAUCGGCUGCUCCUGGAGGGUGACAGUGAAGCUGAUGAACGGUAGGGUGACCCUGGAUCGGGGUUGGGCCACCUACGCCGCCGUUCAUCGGAUCAAGAUCGACUACAUGGUGUUCAAGCUCCUGACUCCCGACACCCUCAAGGUCAUCAUCUUCGACGAUGAUGGCAUUGAGGCGGUCAACAAGUGCGGGAAGCACAACGAAGCCUUCGCCGCCAGGGACUAG
rnacentral:rRNA from 1 species